GAUCAUGGCUCAGGAUGAACGCUAGCUACAGGCUUAACACAUGCAAGUCGAGGGGCAUCAGGAAGAAAGCUUGCUUUCUUUGCUGGCGACCGGCGCACGGGUGAGUAACACGUAUCCAACCUGCCCUUUACUCGGGGAUAGCCUUUCGAAAGAAAGAUUAAUACCGAUAGUAUAAUGAUUCCGCAUGGUUUCAUUAUUAAAGGAAUUCCGGUUAAAGGGAAUGGGGAGUGCGUUCCAUUAGGUUGUUGGUGAGGUAACGG
rnacentral:rRNA from 1 species